GCAACAAGAAGCUGGUGGACCAGCAUGACGGCAGCUACCGCUGUGGAGCGCUGCAUCCGCACCUACGACCACUUCCAGUACCGCCUCAUACUGUCUGCUAACAUAGCGGACUUUGGGGAGAACCAGUGGGUGACCUGCUUUCCAUGAGACGGCUGAAGCUCUGCUGGGACACAGCGCAGAGACACUGGGCCGGCUCAGAGACACGAACGAGGCUGCCUUCGAUGAAGUCUUCCAGAAAGCCAACUUCACCACGCACGUCUUCCGCAACCGAAUCAAGAUGGAGACCUACAACGUGAGCGGAGGGUCAAGGCUACAGUGUAUGGACAUCAAGCCCGUGGACCACCAAGAGUACAGCCGCAGACUGAUCAGCAACAUCAGGAAAAUGGCUGCCUGAACACACAAAAUAACUGCUAUUUUACUCAAAAUGGCCGCCGAACUGUUAAAUUUGCUUCAAAUUAGUCUGGAUCGAAUUAUCUAAGACACCAACAAUAGACUGCUGGAGAAAUUUUUUAAAGAACACUUUCUUGACCUGGAAGAAGGGAGCAACUCUGUCUGGAGUGACAUUGCUGUUAUCGUUUUUAGCCAUGCGCUAUUUGUGAUAGCCAUGCGCUAUUUGUGUUAGCCAUGCGCUAUUUGUUUUAGCCAUGCACUAUGCUGCCAGCCAUUCGCCAAGCUGUUUCAAUGGCUUGUACUUGUUGUGGUCUCAGUGUAGCCGUAGCCAAGACUCCCAGCGAAAAAGCCCUCUAACCAGAUGCAAAAGAGACGCAAAAGAGACGCUCUGAGACGCGAAUCGUCACAUUUGACACUUUAAUCCUCGCCGUUCUUAAUUUUAUUUGGUGCAUUUGAACUCAGUUUCUCUUUUGCUAACAAAUACUCGGAUCGUUACGUCUUAAAUCGGAUGUGCUUCAAAUGGACCGUGUCUGUCCAACGUGUUUAUGAAUAUCUCUUUGUUUGCCUGAACUGAUCGUGCAAAGAUGCAUCCUGUUUCACAGUUGUGCAAUGCCGUACUCCCCAGAUUUAUAGCAGCAUGUUUUAUUUAAGCUAUGUUUUAGAGAAAAGAAAAGCUUUUAUUUAUUUGCUUUUAUAACGUGUUCUAUAAUUCGUUUUAUCAGACUUUAAUAAGGACAAGAAAAUGUUGUGUUCACACUUAAGGGGGAAACAAUCUGUAUGGUUAUGAGUGAUGUGCAAGCCCGCAUAAGAGCACCUUGGUUUAAUUUAAAUGUUAAAUAAUGUAUAGAGUUGUGUGUUUAUUGACGCCUACGCUUGAUUCCAGCCUGUUACUGUUCUCCACUGGGAGGUUUCUAAUUAUGUCAGAACAUUCUGGAAUCCGGUGAAUAAACAGAUGUUGCGUUUGA